rnacentral:snoRNA from 2 species
UGACCACAAAGUAAAAUACAAGCUGACCACAGAAACACUGUCCUUCCAGGUCCCCAUAUGGUUCUCAAGGAACAGGGGAUCAAGCUAAGGACAGAAUUUA